GCGCAGGGUAGCCAGGCGGCGGGCGUAUUCCUCGGCAGGGUGGAUGUUCGAGUUCGCGUAGAACACGACGGGUUCCACCCCUUCCGAGCGCA
rnacentral:tRNA from 1 species